UUGGUGGUGUCAGUGGAGAUUGCGAUUGCC
rnacentral:piRNA from 1 species